GGUGUUUGAUCUCUGUUUCAGUCAAUAUCUUCUCCGUGCCCUACACUAUGAACACAGGGAGACCUGCUGACAGCACUCGGAUAUUUUGGGGAACUAACUUGGGUAAAUCUAUGUCAAUGUCCUCCUUCAAGUUGAUAGGCUAGAAGACAUUGGAAAUGCUUGAUUCUAUAUACUAGCAAAGACUUAUCUCUGGUGGUUUUGCAUACAAUCUAACACUUCAGUUUGUCUGUUGGAGGAGCAGGUGCACUGCAGACUUAAACUCCCAUUAGAUCAACCUCAGGGGAUUCAGAUCCCUGUGAUCAGUUAUUGCUCUUGGCUCCUCCUCUGCCAGGAGGGCUUGAAAGGCUCAAAGCAGCACACAUCAACUUGGAUUUCCGGGCUGAGCGUAGGAGUCCACUCUCUGACCUGUUACUGCCCUGCAAAAAACAACACCAAGAAUGGGUCGAGGUGAAAACAUGGGACACCUAAUUCAACCUGGUCACAGACAGAAGACGCAGCAGUUCCAUCUGGAUCUGGAAGUCGAGCCCUUGGUUAUCCGCUUCCUCCGGACUUUCAAAGAAAUCCUUAAAUUUGUUCUCUUCAGCUACACUGUGCUGUUUGGUGCUUUGCUACUUGCCAGAUGGACCACUUAUUUCAUGGUGGGGAAGUAAAAAGACUAACAGAGGAGCCUGUUCACAUGCCUGGAGCUCAUUAAUGACAGAGAUCAGGCAGAUUUUCAGGGACUUGUGGUCUAUGCACUUCCUAUAACUCAUUAAUGUCUCCUACAAACAUAAAAGCUGGAGUAACCUUGUUUGCUUCUGCUUUUAAUUCAAACUCUGCCCUAUAAAUUAUCACAGCUUCCAAGCAGUUUUAUGUAUCAUUCUGUAGCAAACAUAUACAGCAUAUUUACAGCAAGUCUACAGGGAAACUCUACCAAACAGGCCAGAUUGCAUUAAAUGUGUUUGUUAACAGUGAUUUUAUUUGUAAUCUAGAAACUGAGAUGUUUGCAUUGUUGCAAAAGGUUCACAUUGAAGCUUUGGAACAUAUCUUUAUGGUUUUGUAGCAUACAAAUACAUUAUUGUAUUCUUGAAUGAUAAUGCUUUCUAGGUAGCCUUUUUCCCCCUUGGUAAGCACAUGUAAAGUUAGACAAGAAUGUUGGUGUAAAUAAGGCAUUGCAGCUGUUUCUUUGUUUAAUAAUUUCAACUGAAUGAAAUUGUAAAACAAAUCUGUUCUAUAUUAGGCAGACAUAGUGAACAACAGCCCAGGGGUUACAAGUAUAGUAUUACUGUUUUGUUGUAAUUUUAAAAGUGCUAUGAACUAUUGGACGGGUUAUGUCUAUAAAUGUCGUUUUAAGGGCUUCAUUAUGGCGUUGUAUAACGUGUUGCAUAAUGCAUUAUCCCAAAUAAAUCUGUGUUUGGUAAAAUGA